GGGGAUUUAGCUCAGCGGUAGAGCACUUGCCUAGCAAGUGCAAGGCCCUGGGUUCAGUCCCCA
rfam:Rattus norvegicus chromosome 10, whole genome shotgun sequence.